rnacentral:rRNA from 1 species
UACGUAGGGUGCAAGCGUUAUCCGGAAUUAUUGGGCGUAAAGAGCUCGUAGGCGGUUUGUCGCGUCGGCCGUGAAAACUUGGGGCUUAACUCCAAGCUUGCGGUCGAUACGGGCAGACUUGAGUUCGGCAGGGGAGACUGGAAUUCCUGGUGUAGCGGUGAAAUGCGCAGAUAUCAGGAGGAACACCGGUGGCGAAGGCGGGUCUCUGGGCCGACACUGACGCUGAGGCGCGAAAGCUAGGGGAGCGAACGGG